AGCUACUAUACACAUGCGAUAUAAUUAUUGAAUAAUUUUCUCUUUUUCCCCCCCUUUAGAAACAUCUAAAUUUGGAGCAAUAUAAGCAUCAAAUUUCCCCCUUUUUUUUUCUUGCAAAAUUAAAUUAAUACCCUCAUGAUCCAACUUUUACAAAAAUUUAUAGACAUUAAUAUUUUGUAUAAAACAAACACAAAGCCGUAUCUCACAAGUUAAUGGUAACGCCUCGAGCACCAAUACCAUAUGGUGAAGGGGCAAUAUCCUGUCCAUGAUGGUUAGUUGGGUCAUAUUUUUCGCCGUCACCCCAAAGGGCAUAAGCUUCCUCUCCAUGAACAGCAUCGUCUCCGAUCACAAGUUGUUCUUCGGGCAUUCUCAACGGUAUGAACAACCUUAUAGCUAGAAGAAUUAUUGUUGUGGACGCUAUGUUCCAUGCUAUAACAAAGGAGGCUGCAGCCAUUUGCUUCAAGAAUUGCACCCCACCAUUUCCACCGUAAAAUGCACCUCUUGUUUUCUUUGGCAGAACUAGUUCGCAAAGAUCUGGCUCUGCUAGGAGGCCGGUGAGGAGGCCACCCAAUAGGCCGGCCACCGCGUGGGUGUGAAACACUCCUAAAGUGUCAUCCACCUGCUGUAGCAGCGUAGACUUCUUGUGAAGCACCAUCAUAGACACCCACGGAAUGCUUCCAGAAAGAAAUCCGAAUAUGAUAGCCGCCCAAGAUUGAACCAACCCUGCUCCUGGGGUAAUGCAAGCUAGACCAGUCAUCAUGCCCUGAACAGCUCCUAUCACCGAUGGUUUACCAAAGAAAAUAACAUCUAGAGUCGUCCACACUAGCAAGCUUGUAGCUGCACUUAUGUUGGUGUUUAGUACCGCAAUCGAAGCAUCUAUAUUGGCUGCAUAUGGUGCGCCACCAUUGAAGCCCGACCAACCCAUCCAUAGCAACCCAGCACCCGCAAGCAUCAGCAACACGUUAUUUGGGGGAAAUCUCUCCCUAUCGCUUUUUAGCCUUGGCCCAACCUGCGUCAUUUGUAUCGGAAAUUUAACAUUGAUUUUGCUUGAAAAAUAGAAAUAUGUAAAGAAUCAUCAAUGAGUUGAAUCUCAGGAAUUCUAUAGCACGUACCCAAUAAGCUGCGGUUAGCCCUGAAAUUCCUGAGGAGAGGUGAAUAACAAAGCCACCGGAGUAAUCGAUUGCACCCCAUUGAUAUAGAAAGCCGCCACCCCAGAGACUAAAAGCACCAACAGUAUAAGAGAAUAUAAGCCAUAAAGGCACAAAAGCCAUCCAAGCUUUAAUGUUCAUGCGGCCAAGAACAGAACCCGCAAGUAGAAUAAGCGUAAUAGCAGCAAAAGUGAAUUGAAAGUAGACGAGCGUGGCCAUGGCGUAGUAAGGCUCAACAGUCUUAGAUUUUCCAUCACUUACAUGGGUACUUUCAGGGACUUUAGCUCGGGCAACGAGAUACUUUUGGCCUAGAGCAGGAGCACCCUUACCCCAGAAAGGAAGGAGCUCAUCCCCAAAGGCCAUCCGGUAGCACAACAGCACCCAGCAAAUUAGGACGGCAGCGAAGGCGUAAAGGGCCAUGAAGGCAGAGUUGACAGCCCAUUUUUUCUUGACGAUGCUCGCGUAGAGGAUGACAAGCCCUGGCAUGCUCUGGAUGGCUACGAGAGUCGAUGCUGUCAUUUGCCAUGCGUUGUCCCCUUUGUUUAGCCAUGAAGGGACUGCUGGAGUCACCUCUGAGUAGGCGUUUGAGAUGUUCAUUAAUUGCCUCCGGCUCUUCUAAUACAAAGUUCUUCUCUUUAGCGUUUGGGCUGCAAAUACUUCUCAUAUAUAUGGGGAGCAAUGUGAAGAAAUUUCGUCAUUUCGGCUGCUCUUUCCUUUAGAAAUUUCUCUGACCACCUACGAAACGUGCACUAAUUAAGUUAAUUAAUUAUAUAUUAACGAAAUGGCAAAAUUGCACUUAUUUUUAAGUUCUCUUUAG
rnacentral:misc_RNA from 1 species